rnacentral:rRNA from 1 species
ACCGAUAGUGAACCAGUACCGUGAGGGAAAGGCGAAAAGAACCCCGGCGAGGGGAGUGAAAAAGAACCUGAAACCGUGUACGUACAAGCAGUGGGAGCACGCUUAGGCGUGUGACUGCGUACCUUUUGUAUAAUGGGUCAGCGACUUAUAUUCUGUAGCAAGGUUAACCGAAUAGGGGAGCCGAAGGGAAACCGAGUCUUAACUGGGCGUUAAGUUGCAGGGUAUAGACCCGAAACCCGGUGAUCUAGCCAUGGGCAGGUUGAAGGUUGGGUAACACUAACUGGAGGACCGAACCGACUAAUGUUGAAAAAUUAGCGGAUGACUUGUGGCUGGGGGUGAAAGGCCAAUCAAACCGGGAGAUAGCUGGUUCUCCCCGAAAGCUAUUUAGGUAGCGCCUCGUGAAUUCAUCUCCGGGGGUAGAGCACUGUUUCGGCAAGGGGGUCAUCCCGACUUACCAACCCGAUGCAAACUGCGAAUACCGGAGAAUGUUAUCACGGGAGACACACGGCGGGUGCUAACGUCCGUCGUGAAGAGGGAAACAACCCAGACCGCCAGCUAAGGUCCCAAAGUCAUGGUUAAGUGGGAAACGAUGUGGGAAGGCCCAGACAGCCAGGAUGUUGGCUUAGAAGCAGCCAUCAUUUAAAGAAAGCGUAAUAGCUCACUGGUCGAGUCGGCCUGCGCGGAAGAUGUAACGGGGCUAAACCAUGCACCGAAGCUGCGGCAGCGACGCUGAUGCGUUGUUGGGUAGGGGAGCGUUCUGUAAGCCUGCGAAGGUGUGCUGUGAGGCAUGCUGGAGGUAUCAGAAGUGCGAAUGCUGACAUAAGUAACGAUAAAGCGGGUGAAAAGCCCGCUCGCCGGAAGACCAAGGGUUCCUGUCCAACGUUAAUCGGGGCAGGGUGAGUCGACCCCUAAGGCGAGGCCGAAAGGCGUAGUCGAUGGGAAACAGGUUAAUAUUCCUGUACUUGGUGUUACUGCGAAGGGGGGACGGAGAAGGCUAUGUUGGCCGGGCGACGGUUGUCCCGGUUUAAGCGUGUAGGCUGGUUUUCCAGGCAAAUCCGGAAAAUCAAGGCUGAGGCGUGAUGACGAGGCACUACGGUGCUGAAGCAACAAAUGCCCUGCUUCCAGGAAAAGCCUCUAAGCAUCAGGUAACAUCAAAUCGUACCCCAAACCGACA